rnacentral:tRNA from 1 species
GGGAUCUUAGCUCAGUUGGUUUAGAGCGCUGCCUUGACAGGGCAGAGGUCAUGGGUUCGAAUCCCCUAGAUCCCACUA